rnacentral:lncRNA from 1 species
GGAGAGCGCCAGAACAGUGGAAAGGUCGCCGAAAACCCAUAGGUCCAACAACGGGAAGUACUAAACUAGUCGGAGAUGAGCCAACAACCGCAAAAAUUGAUAAAACAACAAAACACAUGAAGGACUAGCCGACGAUGAACUUCAGUGUAGUUGAAAGGAUAACAACAACAAAGAAGUUCAUCGGAAAAGUUGAAACUCCAGCCAAAUUUCUUGAAACCACAAAAUGAAGUUUCUUACCAGAUUUUUUACAGAUCUGGUUUUUAAAUACUGAGCAUACAAAAAAUCAUAUAACAGAGGGGAAAGAAAGUCACCGGAAAACUAAAAAAGGGUCAGAUCUGAUUCGUCCAGCUAGUUUCAAACCUGAAAAUCAACAAACCAUUAGAACAAGUAGAGAAGGGGAAGUGAAGGGAAGGAGGAGGAGGAGCAGCAGCGGCGCCUACCAUCAAAGUCGCCGGCCAAAUUGGUGGUAAAAUCCAGUGGCGGCAACACACAAUAGGGGAGAAGGGAGAUGGCCGCAGCGGUGGCCAUUGGAGUGGCCGUAGUUGCCUGUUUUCGGGCUGGUUUCGCCGGCGAGGGGAUGGUGCAGAAAUGAGAGAGAGAGAGAGGCGAGUUUGAGGGGGUGGCGGCUGCCAUCUCUCACUUGAGAGAAGAGAAAAAUGAGGGAACUAAUUAGGGUUCCCAUCAUAAAAAAAACUGAUCUAUUGUAUGAAUUUAAAACCCCCCCAAAAAUGUGUAGUCUUCCCCUUUAUUUAUAUAAAAAAUGAGGGCACCCUUUUACCCAUUAGACAAAGAAUGUAAUCAUUAUUUUUUAAUCUGUCUCAUAGUUAUUGUCCAAUACACAAAAUUAUGUUAAGUAAUAUCUAUGUUAUGUCACAUCGCAUAUCUGGUAUGCAUUAUCACAUCAGACGUUGACGGAAUAUUGAAUUUGAGCGGACUUGAUCCGUAUUUUAAAGUAAACUCUAUUGGCUUCUAUGUAAUUAAAUAGACUGUGUUAUGAAUUAAAGUAUGAUUAUUUAAAUAGAAAAUCUUGUAGUAUUUAUUUAAAAAUAUCUACUAUAAUUGUGUUGUAGUAAUUAUUAUUUUAUUUUUGAAAAGACAAUAAAUUGAUAGAAUAACCUAAUAUUUCGAAAAUAGGACAAUUAUCGAUAAUUGUUUUGAAAUUUAUAAAAAGGCACAAAAUGGUAGUAUUUAACCAAUUCUAAUAAAAUGAUAAAAAUUUCUAUAUUUUACAAAAACGGGAAUAAUUAUCAAUAAAUUUCAUAAGAGCUAAAUAAUAUGCAAAUUACUACAUUAUAUCAUCUUUUACUAGGAAGCCUGCAAAAGUUAAUUUUUAAAUACGGAGGGUAAAAAUUGAGUGUCAAUAACUGUCACGACCCCAAAUUCCCUCUGUAGGAUGUCGUGACGGCACCUAGUCUCUAAGACUAGGUAAGCCUAACAAUACGCGGAAACAUCGAAUAAAAACUUAAAAUUUCAAAACUUCAAUAAUUUCACCAAUAGACUAUAAGCUCAAUACGUACAAUUUUCCCAAAACCUAGUGAGAUAUAAGUCAUAAACUCUAGAUACAAUGCUGAACAAUCCUAUACAUCAUUGUCUAUCAAAAACAUUGUAUACGGAUAAAACCGGACCCAUAAGUCGGCCUGAUUCCCGAUAAAAUAAAUCGAGUAAGGAACGCGAUGACAAAGAACCAGAAUCGAGGCAAGGGUCUCACCGAGUCAGGCAUCGGGGGCACGACGCCCACCCUCGAGUAUAUCGAGGCCAUGAGCCCAGAUCGGUCCAAAUCUCAAGAGACUUCGGAGAGCAUUAUUGGGCGAUCGAAUACGAUUAACAGAAGGCCGUGACAUCCGCGAUCAACCGGGUAUCAUUGCGCAGAUCUCGGCACAUACCGACGGGAAUCCAGUAAUCAAUUAAACGGGAGAUUUUUACCUUUUUAUAGAAUUGUACUUAGGGUAAAACUCCCCUACUAUAUAAAGGGGAGUCUGAUUAUUCAUUAGACACAUUGUAACACACAUCCUAAAGAAUAUACUGUUAUUUUUUCACUAUUAUUUAUAGUUCUUAUUCUCGUUCAUCAGUGUUGGACAUCAUGAAUCCAAAUCGAGGGUGGAUAUUUCAUCAAGGCUGGAAUUAUCCUCCACACGUGGUUUGAGUUUACUAUACCUUUAUUUGUUUAAUCUAACGCAAUUUAUCGUUCGUAUCGAAUUAAUCCAUGUAUGCUUAAAACCAUUUAUAAAUUUAAUUGUUAUCCAUUUUUUAGGAUAAACAGUUUGGUGCCCACCAUGGGGCUAAGAAUAAUAGUGGCAAUUUGAUAUGAAUUUCCAUAACGCACCCUAUUUUACACUUGUUCUUUGAAGUGUCUUCAAUUUCAGGUCAAAGUUCAAAAUGUCGAACUCCUAAUUUGCACCUCUAAACGUGGAUGUUGAGUCCAGUCACCAUGGCGAGAACAACACUAUAGUACCCAGUAACGAGGUCCCCCUAUCUAUCCCAGCGGUGUUCCGAUCGCGGACCCAAUCGAUGCUAACUCACAUGUGGCCAUCAACACGAAUCUGCCAACCGAUCCUAAGAAAAAUGUUCGGGGGGGUGGGUGGGGAGGGUGGGGGGAUCGAUAGCCCAAAAUACACACGUCAGUGAAGGAGGUGAGGUCAACUUGCGAGAGAUCUUGGAAAUGUUGCAGGCCCAACAGGCAGCGAUAGCCCAGCUACAGAGCUAGAGCCGCACCCCCCAGCAGAAUUGAGCCCGAGCCGUCUCAGGAAAUCACUUGCAAAAAUGAAUCAAUUACGGAGAGGCCAAGCGAAGCUGAACCCGGGACUAACCCCGAGAUCAUAAAAAUGCUCGAAGAACUGACGAAAUGGGUGGAAUUGGGAGAAACGAAAAUUGAGGCCAAUGAUAAAAAGGUAGAAACCUACAAUUCUAGGGUCGACCAAAUCCCAGAAGCACCGCCGAUAUUGAAGGGUCUAGAUUCUAAAAAGUUUGUUCAGAAGCCUUUCCCCCCGAGCGCGGUUCCGAAGCCAAUUCCAAAGAAGUUUCGCAUGCCCGAAAUUCCUAAGUAAAACGAAACAAUCAACCCAAAUGAGCUUGUGACCUCCUACACAUGCGCUAUCUAAGGGAACGACUUGGUGGAUGAUGAGAUCGAGUCUGUCCUGCUGAAAACAUUCGGGGAAACUUUGUCAAAGGGAGCUAUGAUAUGGUAUCACAACUUACCCCUAAUUCUAUUGACUCGUUUGCUAUGCUUGCAGACUCCUUUGUAAAAGUACACGCCGGGGCCAUCAAGGUCAAGACUAGGAAGUCAGACCUUUUCAAAGUGAAUCAGAGAGAUAAUGAGAUGCUCAGGGAAUUCGUGUCUUGAUUUAAAAUGGAACGAAUGGACCUACCUUCGGUCGCGGACGAUUGGGCCGUAUAGGACUUCAUCCAAGGACUCAAUACUCGAAGCUCAUUGGCUUCACAACAGUUGAAGCAAAAUCUGAUAGAAUAUCCGGGUGUGACUUUGGCCAAUGUACAUAACGGGUAUCAGUCAAAAAUUAGGGUUGAAGAUAAUCAGCUUGGGGCCCUUUCCGAGUCUGUUUAUCCCGUCAGAGCUAUCACCAGAUCCAAGAGAGACAUUGAUCGUGAACCGAGAUCAAAUAGGGAUCAGUAUCAACCAUACAAUAGAGACCGAAGAGGUAAUGGGUCCGGACGAAACCCUGAGCUGGUGUGGAUGACAAAGGCUAGCAUUAAAGUUAUACUAGUGAUCUAGAUUCCAACUACUACUUGUUCAUGGUAGUUUAGGACUUAUAAUUCUAUUUAUGUAAACUUAAAACAGAUGUUGUAUUUAUUCUUCGUACCAGAGUUGUAUUCUUAAUCUUAAUGGCACAUGAGUUGUACUCUCAAUCCUUGGGAUCGUUGUAUGGAUAUUUGUCAUAUUAUAUAUUGAUUAUUGAUGAUAAUUUAUUCGAGUUGUGUUAUUUAUUUUUUGUCUUACCUAGAAUUGGGGGGGGGGGAAGUGUCACAAGAUUAGGUGGGAUUUUGAGUCGUGACAAGUUGGUAUUCAAUCUCUGGUUCAUAGGUUUUAUGAGUCAUGAGAAAGUUUCUAAUAAAUUCUUACAGAUCGUAUGAUGACAUCCAUACUUAUCUUCAAGAGGAUACAAGGCAACUAGGAAACUUUACCUUCUUUCUUUUCCUUAUCGUGCGGCCUUGAUUCACUAGAAGGCACGUAUCUUCGAUUUCCUCCCAUUCGUUUGUCUAUGAUGUUGUGUACUCAGUAUCAAUUGUGAACCAACGGCUUGGGAUUUCGUAGGUGAGGUGCGAGAUAUUCUUUUUUGUUGUAAAGGUAGGCCAUUCUGGAGGACUUGAGGCUAGAUUUAGACUACAGCUUGGGCUCGGCAGAUUCAGCUUUGUGAGUGUUAUGACCCAAUAGGUCAUUUUGAGUUCUAGCCCUUAUUUUUCGAGACCUCUAUUAGCCCCAUUUAGCAGAAAUAUUUUAUGUGAAAAUUUGAAAAAAAAAAUAUUAUUUUUAGCUUUAAAAAUGACUUGAUUUGACUACUCGCAACAUUUUAUGUAAACGAUCCCAGAUCAGUAUUUUGACGAUCCCGGUGGGUCCGUGUCGUAUUUUUGGAUUUGGGCGUAUGUCCGAAAUUGAAUUCGAAAGUCCCUAACUUGAUUUGGCUUGAUUUGUCGAAAACUAGUAAUUUGAAAGUUUAAAGACUUCCUAGGUUUGACCGUAGGUUGACUUUAUAGCAAUCAGGUUCAACUUUUGGUUCCGAGACUUGGUAUAGGUCCAUUUUACUAUUUAAAACUUGUCUGCAAAAUUUGGUGCAAAACGGAGUUGGUUUGAUAGGAUUUGGACGCUCGGUUGUGAAUUUUGAAGUUGUUGAGUCUCUUUGAAAUUUUCAUGUAUUUUAUGUCUGAUUCGUAGUUCUAGUAUUAUUUUAAGGUUAUUACUCUUGUGUGCAUAUUUUUUUUGUAGCGCGAGGGGCUCGGAUGAGUUGCAGGUAGGCUACGGGUCAUUUUUGGACUUAGAAUUGCUGGUUUCAGCUAUUUGUUGGUGUCUGAUGCUAUGUGCUUUGCGAUCACGAAUCCUCUCUCGCGAUCGCAAAGGGGAAACUGGGACAUGGUUGGAGUUCUUGUAUGCGAACACGGAGUAUUGGUCGUUAAUGUGAAGCAGUGGAGGGCUUACCUUUCGUGAAUGCAACCGUUCACACGCGAACGCAAAGGUUUAAGGGGAUUCUGGGGGAGGUAGGUGGUUACCCUUCAGGAACGCGGGCGUUGGCUCGCGAACGUAAAGGCAUGGGGGAGAAAGCCAUCGCAAACGCAAAGGCCAUUUGGGCCACUAUGCAUCGCGAUCGCAUCAGGUGUCUCGCGAAUGCGAAGAACACCUAACGCCUUAUGAUUUAAAGUUUGAAAAAUCAGAAUUCUUCUCAUUUUUCACUAUUUUCAAGUUUGAGAUCGGCCUAGAGGCUAUUUUGAAGAGAUGUUUCAUCCCAACUUCACAGGUUAGUAGUUUUUAACUUUUUUCCUUAUAUUUCCAUAAGCACCCAUUGAUUUUAACCUUUAAUAUAUAUUUUUUCAUGGUAGAAAUUAGGGAUUUAGGUUGAAAUUGAAGAUUUUGAGAAAUUGAGAUUUAGUCCUCAAAUUGAGAUCGGAUUUUGAAACUAGUCACAUAACCGAGCUCGGGGGUAAAUAGGUAAUUGGGUUUUGGUCCGAAUUUCGAGUUUUGACCAAGCUAGUCGGGGGUUGACUUUUGUUGACUUUUUCAAAAUCAUUAAAAAUUGAAUCUUUUUCACUCGUGGGUAGUUUCUAAACCCUAUUCUGAAUUACUUGAACUAUAUUUGGUUAGAUUUGAUUGGUUUGGAGGUUUAGUAUUGAUUUGGUUGCGGAGUGAGGUAUGCGUCGUGGUUAACUUUGACUUGAGAGAUUAGGGCUUAUUGGUCUAUUUGCUACGUGUUUUAUGUGUGGGGACAAUGUAUAUAUGAGGUGACGAGGAUCUAUGCAUUGUCAUUGGGUUAAAGCUUUUUAAUUAUUCGUUUCGUAUUUUUUACUUAUUUUAAAGAUGUGAAUAUUUGAAAGUUGAGUUUGAUAUUAUGGCACCAUAAUUUAAGGGAAAUUGUCUCCCUCCUUGCUUUUAUUAUUUGGAUUUGUAUUGGUGCUUGGUGAGGAAGAGAGAAAAGUACGAAGGAUGUUGGCAUGCCUUAUUUGCAUUCAUUAUCAUACAUUGAGAGAUUUGAGAGUAAAUGCACGAAGAGUGAUGUCGUGCCGGUGAAUGAAAGCACGAAGGGUGAUGCCAUGUCAUUUCAUUUACGAUAUUACAUGGUGAGGAUGAGAGUAAAAGCACAAAGGGUGAUGCCAUGCCAUUUUCAUAUCAUUGAAUUAUUCNNNNNNNNNNNNNNNNNNNNNNNNNNNNNNNNCACUUACGGAGUACAUUAGGUCGGUUGUACUCAUACUACACUUCUACAUUUCUUGUGUAGAUAUUGGUAUUGGUCCCAGUAAUGCUUAGAGGUGCGUAGGAUCGAAUCACAUUUGUUGCACCCUAUUUUGCACAAGUGAAAAUAAUCUACAACUUGUAGUACUCUACAAGGUUAAUUGGAGUUUUAGAGUUCUAGGUAAGAGUUCUAGGUAUGAUUAAAACAAUGUACAACUAUUGCAAAGAAUAAAAGAAUGAUUAACAUGUACUCGAAUGAAUAGUAAUGAUAUAAAAUAUGUAAUGAAUUAUGUGCGGAUGAAGUAUGCAAGUACUUUUUGUGUUUUUGAAAUGGAAUGACUAAGACGCAUACAAAAUAUAUGUAAAGUGGACAAGGAAAUCGUACUCCAAAAGAUAAGCUGAGUGUAAAGUGAGUUCUAGAUAAGAAUAGCAAAAUAUUUUACAAAUAUAUGUGUAACAAAGUGAAGUAUAUGAAAGAAUUAAACGGAUAUUAAAGAAUGGUAUUUUAAUGUAAUUUUAAUAAUAUGAUAAGAAUUACACCUAAAAAUACAUGUUAACUUAAAGUGUUUGAAUAAAAUCAUGAACUUACAAGAAUAAAUUUGAAGAGAAAAGACUAAUAAUUAAAGUUUAAAGGUUAAGAUGGACGACUACAACAAGAAGAAACAUAUACUAAACGAUUGAGAAAAAGGGGGAAGAGUAUUUAUUAGCACAUGGGCAGGUAUUUAACAAGUAAUUCAACCAAAGAGUGUUAAAAGAAUUAUCUCAAUGUAUGAUGAGCAAAGUGAAAUAAUUAUUUUUAUUUUUAAAGAAUAAAUGUGGUAUAGGAAGAAUGUACCAAAAUGUUUGACAUAAAAAAAACUAUUAUAUCAAUAUGAAGAAGCAUUCGCGCUAAAAAGAUAGAGUCAUCAUUUCAUAAGGAACCAAGAUCACCUUUAGAGUCACGGUGUUGAAACACAAAUUGUGUGAACCAAGCCCAAAUGACUACAAGGCCCAAGUCUUUCAAAAAGGCAUAAUAAUUCAAUUAAAACUUCUUUACAAAUUAUGUCUACUCGAAAUGUAUUAAUUAAAGAGUAAUUUACAUAUAGAGAGAUUCGAAAGGCAUACUAGUAUAACUUUAAGAAAAUACGAUAAAAUGAUUUAUUUUUAUUUUUUCAUGAAAAGAGGAUGACAUGUUUUUAUUUCAAGUAUACACCUAACCUAAUUGACGACUAAGUUUAAAAAUAUAUUUGACAUCCUAAGUGUUCAUACAAAUUAUGCCAAUUACCCAAUUUAUAACGUUACAAGUUAGUCAGAUUAUUAACUAAAUACAAUUCACCCUAAGUGUUUGCAAAUAGGUAAACAUCAAAGAAAACAAGAAAGCACGGCAUCUAUCUACCACUUUACUAUACUUUACGUUUUGAGUACAUCCGAGAAUAAGAAGUACGAAGCGGGGAAUUUGGUGGGGUUCGUCUUCGUCUCCGAGCGUCGUCUUUCCAAAGCGUUUUCUUUUAAAGUACCUCGCAAGAUAAGAGAAAUGAAAUUAUUAGCGAAAUAAUAUAAUGUAAAAGAUAAACUAAUAAACUGACAUGUUUUUCAAAUGGUUUUUGUUUUAAAAUGUUUUUGGAAAGUUUCUCUUGAAAAUGAUUUUGUUUUUGAAAGAUAUUUUUGGAAAAAUGUUUUUGGCACAUUAUUUUUGGAAAAUAGUUUUGGAAAAUAAUUUAUAAUUAAUAUAGGAGGCUCAGAUAUGUGUUUUUGAUUUUCGACUAGACAUGAGAACGGGAACCGCCUCACUUGCAACUCCAGUGGCCAACCAUGUCGCCCUCCAUAGGUUGUUGGUUCGUGUUCUUGUCUUUUUUUUUUCGAUGUUUAUCAUCAUCGCAUCGUUAUUCGGGCCCGAUCCGGAAGGUAAUUCGGGGCGUUGUGGCUUCCAAAAUUUAUUCUCAUCGGCCCAGUUCAAAUGUAUCAUCUGCUAAAAUCAGUUUUAAUCAAAAGCCAAAGAAGAUGCCAAAAUCAGUCCCAAUCUCGUUCAACCAACAUUGGAGAACACAGAGAUAAAGUGUCAUUAACAGUGAGCAGCCAGGUCUACGUGAGCAACAAAGAGACAAGGAACACCAAUGUAUUAUCAAUAGUACAACAAAGAAGCGGAUAGCUGCAACUUAGCAAAGACAGAUUUCACCAUAACAUGGACAUCACAGGGAGCGAGGGCAAAUUUCACCAAACCAACAUAGACGUGGCGGCAAACUUCAAAACCCAACACAAUUGUGAAGAUAAAAAUACGAAUCAGAACCAAACGGGUCUCAAGAGCUAGAGAUACUAGGAAUGAAACAAAACAUCACAAAUAGGCACAAUAGUAAAGCCUUAAGCAGUAAUGACCACAAAACAUAUAUGAGUUGCUGGAACCAUAGCCAUGGACGACGGAGAGCGCCAGAACAGUUGAGAGGUCGCCGAAAACCCAUAGGUCCAUCAAUGGGAAGUACUAAAUUAGUCGGAGAUGAGCCAACAAACACAAAAAUUGAUAAAACAACAAAACACACGAAGGACUAGCCGACGAUGAACUUCGGUGUAGUUGAAAGGAUAACAACAACAAAGAAGUCCGUCGGAAAAGUUGAAACUCCAGCCAAAUUUCUUGAAACCACAAAAUGAAGUUUCUUAUCAUAUAUAACAGAGGGGAAAGAAAGUCACUGGAAAACUAUAAAAGGGUCAGAUCUGAUUCGUCCAGCUAGUUUCAAACCUGCAAAAUCAACAAACCAUUAGAACAAGUAGAGAAGGGGAAGUGAAGGGAAGGAGGAGGAGCAGUAGCAGUGGCGCCUGCCAUCAAAGUCAUCAGCCAAAUUGGUUGUAAAAUCCAGUGGUGGUGUCGCACAAUAGGGGAGAAGGGAGAUGGCAGCAGUGGUGGCCAUUGGAGCGGCCGUAGUCGCCUGUUUUCGGGCUGGGUUCGCCGGCGAGGGGAAGGUGCAGAAACGAGAGAGAGAGAGAGGCGAGUUUGAGGGGGUGGCGGCUGCCAUCUCUCACUUGAGAGAAGAGAAAAAUGAGGGAACUAAUUAGGGUUCCCCUCAUAAAAAAAACUGAUCUAUUGUGUGAAUUUAAAACCCCCCAAAAAAUGUGUAGUCUUCCCCUUUAUUUAUAUAAAAAAUGAGGGCAC